rnacentral:rRNA from 1 species
GAUGAACGCUGACAGAAUGCUUAACACAUGCAAGUCUUUGGCGAAGCCGUGCUUGCACAGCCUAGCCAAGGCGGACGGGUGAGUAACGCGUAAGGAACUUGCCCUGCAGUCAGGGAUAACAGACGGAAACGACUGAUAAGACCUGGUAAAGUCAGGCGGACUCAUGUCCAGCCUGAUGAAAAGAGAUGCUGCAGGAGAGCCUUGCGUCCUAUUAGCUUGUUGGUGGGGUAACGGCCCACCAAGGCGAUGAUAGGUAGCCGGCCUGAGAGGGUGGACGGCCACAAGGGGACUGAGAUACGGCCCUUACUCCUACGGGAGGCAGCAGUGGGGAAUAUUGGACAAUGGGGGCAACCCUGAUCCAGCAAUUCUGUGUGCACGAUGAAGGUUUUCGGAUUGUAAAGUGCUUUCAGCAGGGAAGAAAAAAAUGACGGUACCUGCAGAAGAAGCGACGGCUAAAUACGUGCCAGCAGCCGCGGUAAUACGUAUGUCGCAAGCGUUAUCCGGAAUUAUUGGGCAUAAAGGGCAUCUAGGCGGCCAGAUAAGUCUGGGGUGAAAACUUGCGGCUCAACCGCAAGCCUGCCCUGGAAACUAUGUGGCUAGAGUACUGGAGAGGUGGACGGAACUGCACGAGUAGAGGUGAAAUUCGUAGAUAUGUGCAGGAAUGCCGAUGAUGAAGAUAGUUCACUGGACGGUAACUGACGCUGAAGUGCGAAAGCUAGGGGAGCAAACAGG